rnacentral:pre_miRNA from 2 species
GUUCAGGUGGAUGAUGCUUGGCUCGAGACCAUUAAAUAUGAUCAUUGUGAUGUUGAUGAUGAUGAUGAUAAUGAUAAUGAUAGUCGGACCAGGCUUCAUUCCCCUCAAC